UACGUAGGGUUCAAGCGUUAUCCGGAAUCACUGGGCGUAAAGCGUGCGUAGGUGGUUUGUUAAGUGUAUUGCGAAAUCCUGUGGCUCAACCAUAUGGACUGUAAUGCAUACUGGCAAACUAGAGGACAUGAGGGGCAACCGGAAUUCCCAGUGUAGCGGUGAAAUGCGUAGAUAUUGGGAAGAACACCUGAGGCGAAGGCGGGUUGCUGGGCCGACACUGACGCUGAGGCGCGAAAGCCAGGGGAGCAAACGGG
rnacentral:rRNA from 1 species